CCCUUAGAUGUUCUGGGCCGCACGCGCGCUACACUGUUCGACGCAGCGAGUCUUAACCUUGACCGAAAGGUUUGGGUAAUCUUCAGCAAAGUCGAACGUGAUGGGGAUCGAUCAUUGCAAUUAUUGAUCGUGAACGAGGAAUUCCUAGUAAGCGCGAGUCAUCAGCUCGUGCUGAUUACGUCCCUGCCCUUUGUACACACCGCCCGUCGCUGCAACUGAUUGGGUGACCUGGUGAACAUCUUGGACCGGUCCACUCAAUUUCGAGAGGACUGGAAAAGGCCGUAAAUCAGGUACAUCUAGAAAUUGCAAAAGUCGUAACA
rnacentral:rRNA from 1 species